CGGUGGGUCUAGACGGGGGGCUAGGGGUCCCCUGAGGGGCGCAAGCUCCGACCGUAAACCCUCUAUACGACGGGUUGAAGGCCGUGGUGAGGCGUCAAAGAGCAUCUGGACUUGCAGUCUCUCGCAGUGAGUGUCCGUCCCUUGGGGCUAGCAGUUGUGAAGCGGCUUCCGUAGGGAAGUCGUUAUCUACGUUUGCCAAGCGAACUUGGCCAGGCCCGGGAGGGAGCAACCUAAGCUUGGAUGUUCAGCGCUCAAGGGAGUGCGGACAUGAGCAAUGGGAUUGAUUAAGGCUGGAUGUAAACUGGGCAUCGAGCCAUGGCGACUCACCG
rnacentral:SRP_RNA from 1 species